rnacentral:rRNA from 1 species
GACGAACGCUGGCGGCGUGCCUAAUACAUGCAAGUCGAACGAGAGCGACCGGUGCUUGCACUGGUCAAUCUAGUGGUGAACGGGUGAGUAACACGUGGGUAACCUGCCCAUCAGAGGGGGAUAACAUUCGGAAACGGAUGCUAAAACCGCAUAGGUCUUCGAACCGCAUGGUUUGAAGAGGAAAAGAGGCGCAAGCUUCUGCUGAUGGAUGGACCCGCGGUGCACUAGCUAGUUGGUGAGGUAACGGCUCACCAAGGCCGUGAUGCAUAGCCGACCUGAGAGGGUGAUCGGCCACAUUGGGACUGAGACACGGCCCAAACUCCUACGGGAGGCAGCAGUAGGGAAUCUUCCGCAAUGGACGCAAGUCUGACGGAGCAACGCCGCGUGAGUGAAGAAGGUUUUCGGAUCGUAAAACUCUGUUGUUAGAGAAGAAUAAGUGCUAGAGUAACUGUUAGCGCCUUGACGGUAGCUAACCAGAAAGCCACGGCUAACUACGUG